rnacentral:rRNA from 1 species
AACGAACGCUGGCGGCAGGCCUAACACAUGCAAGUCGAGCGCGCCCUCCGGGGUGAGGGGCGGACGGGUGAGUAACGCGUGGGAACGUUCCCUUUUCUACGGAAUAGCCUCGGGAAACUGAGAGUAACACCGUAUCCGCCCUUUGGGGGGAAGAUAUAUCGAAAAAGGAUCGGCCCGCGUUGGAUUCGGUAGUUGGGGGGGUAAUGGCCUACCAAGCCGACGAUCCCUAGCUGGUUUGAGAGGAUGAUCAGCAACACUGGGACUGAGACACGGCCCAGACUCCUACGGGAGGCAGCAGUGGGUAAUCGUACACAAUGGGGGCAACCCUGAUCGAGCCAUGCCGCGUGAGUGAUGAAGGCCUUAGGGUUGUAAAGCUCUUUCAGCUGGGAAGAUAUUGACGGUACCAGCAGAAGAAGCCCCGGCUAACUCCGUG